UAGGGAAUAUUAGAAAUGGACGAAAGUCUGAUCUAGCAACACCGCGUGUGCGAAGAAGGCCUUCGGGUCGUAAAGCACUUUUUGGAAGGAAUAGGAAGGAAUGUACUUCCAGAAUAAGUCUCGGCUAACUACGUGCCAGCAGCCGCGGUAACACGUAGGAGGCAAACGUUAUCCGGAUUUACUGGGCGUAAAGCGCGUGUAGGUGGUUCUGUAAGUAGGGCGUGAAAGCUCCCGGCUCAACUGGGAGAGGCCGUUCUAAACUGCAGAGCUAGAGGAUGGUAGAGGGAGGUGGAAUUCCGGGUGUAGCGGUGGAAUGCGCAGAUAUCCGGAGGAACACCAGUGGCGAAAGCGGCCUCCUGGACCAUUCCUGACACUCAGACGCGAAAGCGUGGGGAGCAAACA
rnacentral:rRNA from 1 species